AGUGAACGCUGGCGGCGUGCUUAACACAUGCAAGUCGAACGAGAACGGAUUUAAGUUUACUUAAAUUGUCAGCUAAGUGGCGCACGGGUGAGUAAUAUAUAGGUAAUGUGCCCUAGAGAGGGGGAUAACAGUUGGAAACGACUGCUAAUACCCCAUAUGCCUUUAAAACAUAAGUUUGCAAGGGAAAUAUUUAUAGCUCUAGGAUCGGCCUGUACGGUAUCAGUUAGUUGGUGAGGUAAUGGCUCACCAAGACAAUGACGCCUAACUGGUUUGAGAGGAUGAUCAGUCACACUGGAACUGAGACACGGUCCAGACUCCUACGGGAGGCAGCAGUGGGGAAUAUUGCACAAUGGGGGAAACCCUGAUGCAGCAACGCCGCGUGGAGGAUGUCACAUUUCGGUGCGUAAACUCCUUUUAUAUAGGAAGAUAAUGACGGUACUAUAUGAAUAAGCGCCGGCUAACUCCG
rnacentral:rRNA from 1 species